UCCAUAGGUUAAUGAGGCGAACCGGGGGAACUGAAACAUCUAAGUACCCCGAGGAAAAGAAAUCAACCGAGAUUCCCCCAGUAGCGGCGAGCGAACGGGGAGGAGCCCAGAGCCUGAAUCAGUGUGUGUGUUAGUGGAAGCGUCUGGAAAGGCGCGCGAUACAGGGUGACAGCCCCGUACACAAAAAUGCACAUACUGUGAGCUCGAUGAGUAGGGCGGGACACGUGGUAUCCUGUCUGAAUAUGGGGGGACCAUCCUCCAAGGCUAAAUACUCCUGACUGACCGAUAGUGAACCAGUACCGUGAGGGAAAGGCGAAAAGAACCCCGGCGAGGGGAGUGAAAAAGAACCUGAAACCGUGUACGUACAAGCAGUGGGAGCCUCUUUAUGGGGUGACUGCGUACCUUUUGUAUAAUGGGUCAGCGACUUAUAUUCUGUAGCAAGGUUAACCGAAUAGGGGAGCCGAAGGGAAACCGAGUCUUAACUGGGCGUUAAGUUGCAGGGUAUAGACCCGAAACCCGGUGAUCUAGCCAUGGGCAGGUUGAAGGUUGGGUAACACUAACUGGAGGACCGAACCGACUAAUGUUGAAAAAUUAGCGGAUGACUUGUGGCUGGGGGUGAAAGGCCAAUCAAACCGGGAGAUAGCUGGUUCUCCCCGAAAGCUAUUUAGGUAGCGCCUCGUGAAUUCAUCUCCGGGGGUAGAGCACUGUUUCGGCAAGGGGGUCAUCCCGACUUACCAACCCGAUGCAAACUGCGAAUACCGGAGAAUGUUAUCACGGGAGACACACGGCGGGUGCUAACGUCCGUCGUGAAGAGGGAAACAACCCAGACCGCCAGCUAAGGUCCCAAAGUCAUGGUUAAGUGGGAAACGAUGUGGGAAGGCCCAGACAGCCAGGAUGUUGGCUUAGAAGCAGCCAUCAUUUAAAGAAAGCGUAAUAGCUCACUGGUCGAGUCGGCCUGCGCGGAAGAUGUAACGGGGCUAAACCAUGCACCGAAGCUGCGGCAGCGACGCUUAUGCGUUGUUGGGUAGGGGAGCGUUCUGUAAGCCUGUGAAGGUGUACUGUGAGGUAUGCUGGAGGUAUCAGAAGUGCGAAUGCUGACAUAAGUAACGAUAAAGCGGGUGAAAAGCCCGCUCGCCGGAAGACCAAGGGUUCCUGUCCAACGUUAAUCGGGGCAGGGUGAGUCGACCCCUAAGGCGAGGCCGAAAGGCGUAGUCGAUGGGAAACAGGUUAAUAUUCCUGUACUUGGUGUUACUGCGAAGGGGGGACGGAGAAGGCUAUGUUGGCCGGGCGACGGUUGUCCCGGUUUAAGCGUGUAGGCUGGUUUUCCAGGCAAAUCCGGAAAAUCAAGGCUGAGGCGUGAUGACGAGGCACUACGGUGCUGAAGCAACAAAUGCCCUGCUUCCAGGAAAAGC
rnacentral:rRNA from 1 species